rnacentral:rRNA from 1 species
AUGAACGCUGGCGGCGUGCUUAACCCCUGCCAGUCGAACGGAAAGGCUCCUGCUUGCAGGGGUACUCGAGUGGCGAACGGGUGAGUAACACGUGGGUGAUCUGCCCUGCACUUCGGGAUAAGCCUGGGAAACUGGGUCUAAUACCGGAUAGGACGAUGGUUUGGAUGCCAUUGUGGAAAGUUUUUCGGUGUGGGAUGAGCUCGCGGCCUAUCAGCUUGUUGGUGGGGUAAUGGCCUACCAAGGCGUCGACGGGUAGCCGGCCUGAGAGGGUGUACGGCCACAUUGGGACUGAGAUACGGCCCAGACUCCUACGGGAGGCAGCAGUGGGGAAUAUUGCACAAUGGGCGCAAGCCUGAUGCAGCGACGCCGCGUGGGGGAUGACGGCCUUCGGGUUGUAAACUCCUUUCGCUAGGGACGAAGCGCAAGUGACGGUACCUGGAGAAGAAGCACCGGCUAACUACGUG